CCUACGGGAGGCAGCAGUGGGGAAUAUUUGGCAAUGGGCGCAAGCCUGACCCAGCAACGCCGCGUGAAGGAAGAAGGCUUUCGGGUUGUAAACUUCUUUUCUCAGGGACGAAGCAAGUGACGGUACCUGAGGAAUAAGCCACGGCGAACUACGUGCCAGCAGCCGCGGUAAUACGUAGGUGGCAAGCGUUAUCCGGAUUUAGUGGGUGUACAGGGCGUGUAGGCGGGACUGCAGGUCAGAUGUGAAAUCCACGGGCUCAACCUGUGGCCUGCAGUUGAAACUGUAGUUCUUGAGUACUGGAGAGGCAGACGGAAUUCGUGGUGUAGCGGUGAAAUGCGUAGAUAUUAGGAGGAACACCAGUGGCGAAGGCGGGUUGCUGGACAGCAACUGACGCUGAGGCGCGAAAGCGUGGGGAGCAAACAGGAUUAGAUACCCCGGUAGUC
rnacentral:rRNA from 1 species